GCUGUUAUUUUGUGGGAUGGUG
rnacentral:miRNA from 1 species